rnacentral:rRNA from 1 species
GUGUCAGCCGCCGCGGUAAUACGUAGGUGGCGAGCGUUGUCCGGAAUUACUGGGUGUAAAGGGCGUGUAGGCGGGGAGACAAGUCAGAUGUGAAAGCCCAGAGCUCAACUCUGGGACUGCAUCUGAAACUGUUUUUCUUGAGUGCUGGAGAGGAAAGCGGAAUUCCUAGUGUAGCGGUGAAAUGCGUAGAUAUUAGGAGGAACACCAGUGGCGAAGGAGGCUUUCUGGACAGUAACUGACGCUGAGGCGCGAAAGCGUGGGGAGCAAACAGGAUUAGAUACCCUGGUAGUCCACGCUGUAAACGAUGGAUACUAGGUGUAGGAGGUAUCGACCCCUUCUGUGCCGGAGUUAACACAAUAAGUAUCCCACCUGGGGAGUACGGCCGCAAGGUUGAAACUCAAAAGAAUUGACGG